UACGUAGGGAGCAAGCGUUGUCCGGAUUUACUGGGUGUAAAGGGUGCGUAGGCGGCUUUACAAGUCAGGCGUGAAAUAUAUGGGCUUAACCCAUAGACUGCGUUUGAAACUGUAGAGCUUGAGUGAAGUAGAGGUAGGCGGAAUUCCCGGUGUAGCGGUGAAAUGCGUAGAGAUCGGGAGGAACACCAGUGGCGAAGGCGGCCUACUGGGCUUUAACUGACGCUGAGGCACGAAAGCAUGGGUAGCAAACAGGAUUAGAUACCCUGGUAGUCCAUGCCGUAAACGAUGAUUACUAGGUGUGGGGGGUCUGACCCCUUCCGUGCCGGAGUUAGCACAAUAAGUAAUCCACCUGGGGAGUACGGCCGCAAGGUUGAA
rnacentral:rRNA from 1 species